rnacentral:lncRNA from 1 species
ACUUGCAAACAGCAUAAAAAGUGGUGUGGUUAGCUUUCAUACCUGAGAUUCAUUGCCAAGUUAUUAAUAAUAUAGACAAGCACCACUACCGCAAGCAAAUAUAUGCUUAAACCUACAUAAAUCACUUUCCUUAAUUUCGGUUAUUCCUUUAAUAACUGAAUCUAUUAACUCGGUUAACAGUUCAAAUAUUAAAAAUGUGUUCAUUUCGGUUUUUCGAUUAUAAUUAAAUAAAUUAUUCGGUUCAAUUAUAAUUGAAUUGCUUCCCUCUUAUGUAGUUACACCUCCUUCAGUCUGUAAAAAGAAGUAGGCCUAAAGUACAUAAGUUGGUCAAUUGGCCAAUAGAAUGCUGACACAUAUAAAGUCAAUUGACCAACUUACUCAAAAAUAAACUUCAUGCCAUUUAUGAACACAAGGAAAGAGAAUGGGCACUUUCUUUUGGGUAUGGGAUGGUAGUAUAAUUUUUUGGUAGCAUAAAAUAGAUACUUCAAUCAUUCCACAAAAAUAGUCUUAUAUAUAAAAUUGAAAAAUAUAUUUUUAUUUCAUAUACGUCCCUAAAAUAAUAAAUUAUUAAUCUUAUACUAUAUAGUAUGAUAAUGACAUUAAGAUACCAAACUCCCGGGUGUCAUUUUAUAUUAUUACUAAAAAGUGGACUCUAUUCAUCCGUUGACAUAAUUGUUAGAAUUAAGAGAGUAUCUCGGAUGGGGAUGGGAGACUUGGAACAAACUAAACAAAGAGGGGGCUAGGGUGUUUGCUGAAUAUUGAAAGGUACUAGGAGGAUAUGUUUUGUUUUAAUGAUGAUAAUAUAUUUAUAUCAAAUUGACAUCUAAAUCAGUUGAACGUAUUUUCAGCUAUGAUUUCUAAAGCUUUAACAAAAUCAAUAUCUUUCCUAAAAAGUUGGCUGGACUUGGUGUGUUUGUGGCUUGCUAAUUAUCUUGUUUAUUUAGCAUUAGAACACUAUCCAUACAUCUACUUAUUAUGUAUUGUUAAAUCUAAAGUAAUAUAAAUGAGGUUAUGCUUAACAGUUUUAAUACAGACACCAAAGCAUACAUGUCCUAUCUGUCUAAAUUACUUCUGUAGCAGAAAAUUUUAAAUUUAUCAAUUAAAUCACAUACACCUAUUCAACCCCCUUUCUAGGGGUGUGCACACACAAAAUUUCAUUUGGUAUAAGAGAUUGUGAUUGCCUUUGCAGACCAUAGGGAUGGCACACCUUAAUUUUCGAGAAGGGCAGUCCACUUGGCAGUGAGAAUUUUAAUUUCUGAAAAUUCAGAAUGAAGAUAUACCUCUACAGGGAUCCAUGGGAAUAGUGGGUGGUUGACAACAGACUUUCAAAAUUUAUCCUUAUGACUCAAAGCAUAGUCACAAUUUUCAAGACUGGAAACAUAUACAAUCUAAAUAAUUCAUAUACAAAUCAACAAUUAAGACAGAAAAAUUUGCAAAUACUUGAAUCAUCCAAGUAAGUAACAAUCAAAUUAGUACCUAAUAACACUAAUCAAAUAGUGAUAUUUGAAUUUAAUUGGAAUACUAAUUCGUAGUGCAUAAAGCUUUAAAGUGUUGUGCUUUUUUAAUUUUUAGGAACCUAGUAGCAAUAGUUGAACCAUUCUCCAACUGACCUACUUACAAAUGAGAUGGCUACGAUAUAUAAUCAUCUGUAUAUGACUACAAUCAUCUGUAGCUUCUCAAGGCUAACUCCAACAUAAAGUUACCUCAACUUAAUACUAAUUCCUUAUAAAACAAAUACAACUCAAGAAAAAUAAUAGAAGCAAACAUUGUAAUAGUAUAAUUAACAAUCAUUAAAAUUUUAUUAUCCAUAAAACUAAAUAAAAUUGAGGCUAAAACGACUAAAAAACCUAAAACGAAAUUAACAAUUACCUACAUGUCUAAGAAAAAGAGAAAGUAAAAAAAAAAGAACAGUCAUCUUGUUAUGCACAUCAUCGUCAAUUUCAUAUUAUAUGCUAAUUUAUCCAUCUGUUGGCCAUCUAUACUCAUUUUUAAGAAUUACAAAUAAUGCUCAAAACUGCAAUCAUGGAGAAAAUAUAAUUUUAACCUUUCCAUCCUAUUGUUAUAUCUCACCUAAUUCCCAACCUCUUUCCCAAGUAGAUUGUCAUUUACAUUUAUGUUACAGUUUAUAAAUGAGGAACCUACACCAUCAUUUUUAAGUUCCUAUGAUGAUCUACAAUUGCUCCAAAAAAAUUAUAUCGUAUGCAAAAUGCAUUUUCUUUCAAGAGUAAAAGAUCACCAAGAUUUAUAUAUACCUUGUAAGUUGUAACGUGAUCUUGCUCGGCCAUAUACAUUUUUACCCUGUAAAACGUGACUUUAUCACCCGUUAUCCUCGAUGCAAGUGUGCAAUUGUUGCAUUCCGCUUCAUCCGACCACUGCCACUAUAUAAUUCUGCAUAGGAAAACAACAAUUUAACAUAUAGCAUAUACAAUUUAGUUUAUUUAAUGCAAACCAUAAAGUUCAAUAAAAAUUAACAAAGAGUACUCAUUACCAAAAAAAGGUAGUAAUAAGUUGCAAUACCUGAAUAUUGAUUCUCAUUACUAAACAGUAAUUAAAUAAGACGGUGACAAAAACUCAUGUAUAGGUGCUGAGAUUAGAGCUUUCAUUGGCUUUAUCUGCUUUAUCUUUCCAAGUGAUAAUAGUUUGAUCUGUUUGAUUUUGAUUUCGAAAUUCAAUAAAAUUAAAUCAAAGUAAAAACGUGAUCACCGUAAUUAGAAUACCAAUAAUAUAUCAACCCAUUAAAAUUCAAUUCUCAAACUACGUUAAAACUCAUCACACAAAAAAUAAUUUUAAGAUAGGAAAAUAGUAACAAAUAGUGACUGUGUUCAACAACUAAAUUUGAGAUAUAAAGUCACGAGUAACUCACUAUGUAUAUGUACAUCGAAAUCAAAUACUAAAAAAUUAUAUUCAAAACUAUAUAUACUACCUCAUUCGCAUAAUAAGAGUCCUAAUUCAAAAGACAACGAUUUAAACGUAUUCACUUAAACCACAACUAAGAAGUCGAUAUCAUAACUCACAAAAAGUUGCUCCACCUGCAAUUCUAGCCUUAGGAAAAAUAAUAUAAAUUGCCUCACUAAUCUUAUUGUAGGACCAAUGAACAUUAUUUACAAAAUUAUGUUCAUCCCAUAAUAAUGUUAACAUUGUUCUCAUAAACCCAAGUUUAGUCAUUUACAAUACAACAAUACAAUACUUGUUGUUAGAUAGCGCAUUUUCUCAAUGGUCCCCAACAAAUAAAUUUGUAAUUGUACUAUUACUUAAUAGAGAAUGUUGUGAGACAAUAAUUUUAUUAUUAGAAUCAAUAAAUUGAGCUUUAAGCAUCAUCAUUCAAGAUAACAAUAAAAUGUCAAUGCUCGUAUAAGUCCAAAAAAUUAUUUAUUCAAACCAAUGAAAUCAUCAUUAUACAAAUAGUUUGUGUGAUAUUGGAUCAAUAAAGAAUUGAAAAUUGCUAAUAUGAAAAGCUUCUUUACUGGCAUAAAAGUCUCCUCAAAAUGAUGCACCCUUCCUUGAGCUAAUUUAUCUAAUUGAAGGAUAAAAUGAUUAUGUAUGACCUCUCUAUGUCAUUCCAUCAAGCAAGUAAUGUGCAAGUUUAGUUCAGUGAGAACAAUUGGAUCUAACCUUAAAAUCCAGCACAUUCCCUCCGACCAAAAUUUUUACACAAAACUAACAAUGUUCCAAGAACAUAAAUUGAAACUUACAAUCAUAUUAAAUUCACAAAAUAGAAUAAAAUAAAGAAAAAAGAAACGCAAAAAAAAACAUAAAUAUGCUAGUAUUUUAGGUUUUCGAUAAUGUGAUAUUUUUUCAAACACUUAAUACACAAUGCCAAAAUCCAAAGAAUAAGGAAAAGAAUGGUGCAUAUAACUAUAGAAUUAAUAAAAUUUUCAAUUCUCAGAUACAUAAUCCAAACUUACCUCAUUCGAGGUGCUUAACCGAUACCCCAAUUUUGACGAUUGUGACGGCGUCACAGAAGAGAAAUGGAUUGGAUGUAUACAGCUGGGGCUUUGUCUAGUAACAUUAGUACUCGACGAAAGUGUUCACGUGUCGAUUUGGGUGGACUAUAGCGGAUAUUCGAGGAAUCAGUAUGCACAAGAUUUUAAUGGAAGAGGGGCCAAAACCAACCAUUGAGAUGCAAAGAAAGCUAAACCCCAUUAUGAAGGAUGUGAUGAAAAAGGAGAUAAUAAAAUGGUUGGAUGUGGGCAUUAUUUACCCAAUCUCAAAUAGUUUAUGGGUGAGUCCUGUACAGUGCGUACCAAAGAAAGGGGGUAUGACACUGGUGAAGAAUGAAAUUAAUGAGCUCAUCCCUACUAGAACAGUUACAGGAUGGAGAGUAUGUAUGGACUACCGCAAGCUGAAUAAAGCCACACGCAAGGAUCACUUCCCCUUGCCAUUCAUUGAUCAAAUGUUGGAUAGGCUAGCGAGACAUCAGUUCUACUAUCAUUUGGAUGGAUAUUCUGGGUAUAAUCAAAUUGCCAUAGCACCGGAGGAUCAAGAGAAAACUACAUUCACAUGCCCCUACGGUACGUUUGCAUUCCGGCGCAUGUCUUUUGGGUUAUGUAAUGCACCGGCAACCUUUCAACGG